UGAUGGCUGUUCAUUUCACUGCUUAGAGUCUUAGGUGGUGGGAUUUUAGUCCAUCAUAUAUCUAAGCUGACUUGUCUUCACUCAGGGUACCACGGGGAUGGGUUGGUUGGCUGUCCGUUAGUGCCUUCUGAUUUUUGCGGAGUCAAACAAUU
ensembl:snoRNA